rnacentral:rRNA from 1 species
GAUGAACGCUGGCGGCGUGCCUAAUACAUGCAAGUCGAGCGAACAGACGAGGAGCUUGCUCCUCUGACGUUAGCGGCGGACGGGUGAGUAACACGUGGAUAACCUACCUAUAAGACUGGGAUAACUUCGGGAAACCGGAGCUAAUACCGGAUAAUAUAUUGAACCGCAUGGUUCAAUAGUGAAAGACGGUCUUGCUGUCACUUAUAGAUGGAUCCGCGCCGCAUUAGCUAGUUGGUAAGGUAACGGCUUACCAAGGCAACGAUGCGUAGCCGACCUGAGAGGGGAAUCGGCCACACUGGAACGGGAACACGGUCCAGACUCCAAGGGGAGGCAGAGGUAGGGAACCUUCCGCAAUGGGCGAAAGCCUGACGGGGCAACGCCGCGUGGGUGAUGAAGGUCUUCGGAUCGAAAAACCCUGUAAUUAGGGAAGAACAAAUGUGAAAGUAACGAUGCACGUCUGGACGGUACCAAAUCAGAAAGCCACGGCUAACUACGU